AAGCGUUAAGGAUAGUAGCGGCAUCCUUUUUUUGGCUACCCACAAUAAUAGUUUUGGCCAAAAAAAGAUAUAGCGAAUAGCCUGCCCGAUA
rnacentral:sRNA from 10 species